rnacentral:sRNA from 1 species
AUUCUGUGUAAUUCCUGUCCACAGUCUGUUCAUUUUUAAUGAAAACCUAUUGCUGUUAUUUUCUAUUAUGAAUUAAUGGUGAUGUGUGUUUUUUAAAUUUUGUAUACUUGCUCUCACCUUAAAAUAUAUCUUAAGAGACUUUUUCCCCGUUUUCCUUUCUGCUUUCCAAGACUCCAGGAAAAACAGCUUCCAUGGCACAUUUUGUACAGGGCACAUCUAGAAUGAUUGCUGCAGAAAGUUCUACGGAGCAUAAAGAGUGUGCUGAAUCAUCAACAAGAAAGAACUUGACGAAUUCUCUUGAACAAAAGAUAAGGUGUUUGGAAAAACAAAGAAAAGAGCUCCUGGAAGUUAACCAGCAAUGGGAUCAGCAAUUUAGAAGUAUGAAAGAGUUAUACGAAAGAAAGGUAGCAGAGAUGAAGAUGAAACUUGACGCCGCAGAAAGAUUCCUCAGCACGCGGGAGAAGGAUCCGCAUCAGAGGCAGAGAGAGGACGGCAGGCAGAGAGAGGACGGCAGGCAGCGCGACCUGACCCGGGACCGGCUGCAGCGGGAGGAGAAGGAAAAGGACCACCUAAAUGAAGAAUUACAUGAAUUGAAGGAAGAAAAUAAACUUUUAAAGGAAAAAAAUACUCUUGUGAACAAGGAAAAGGAACAUUACGAAUGUGAAAUAAAACGCCUCAAUAAGGUAUCAGUCAGGUCAAGCAUGGGAGAUUAAAAUGAGAAGUCCCUGCAUAAAACAUUCUUACUGAGAGUCACAACAAAAUCUAGGCUGCAGUGUGGGUCCCACCCUUGGAGGCUUGCACAAGAAAUUAUCUGUGAUUUUAUAAAUCACUCCUAGCUGCAGCUUUCAGCCAUACUUGGCUAAGCAGGCUUUAGGGAAUUUUUGUCCCUACAAAGAUUCAUCAUGAAAAAGAGAAAUGAGGAGGAAUUAUAGAGACAGUAAGAACGUUUCUUAGUUUGAAGAACCACAUAAAGCAAGUGGGUGUUUGCAAACAAUA